GCUUGAAAUACAGAGGAAAGUCCGGGCUUCACAGGGCAGGAUGCCGGAUAACGUCCGGUGGAGGCAACUCUAAGGAAAGUGCAACAGAAAGUAUACCGCCUGCACUUGCAGGUAAGGGUGAAAUGGCAGUGUAAGAGACUACCGCCCGGGUGGUAACACGCGGGGCAUUGUAAACCCCAUCCGAAGCAAGACCAAGAAGAAGCGAUACGGUUGCCCGCCGUGCUUCGGGUAGGUCGCUUGAGGUCGGCGGUAACGUCGAUCCUAGAUAGAUGAUCGUCACGGUUUUACCGUACAGAACCCGGCUUAUGUUU
rnacentral:RNase_P_RNA from 1 species